GUAGUAAUAAAUGCGAGAAUAUUGACUUCCAUAAUCUCUUUAUUUUUUUUCACAAUAACUCGGGAUGUAAUCCCAUAGAGAGGAAAAAGGGGUAUCCUGUAAAUUUAAGGGGAGGACUUGCAUUCUGAUAAUACUGAAUCAAUUCAAUAUUAUGAAUAUUGGAUCUAUCAAAUCAAUUUAUGGUUGAUAGUGGAAUAAUAUAAUAUAGGAGGAUCCCUUAUCCAUACUAAGACCAAAAUAGGUUUUUUGAUUGGAUUCGAAACUCCCUCUAUUCUAUGUUGCAUUCUUUUCUACUUUUGCUUUUCCAUAUGUAUACCCAAAAUCCUUCUUAUCUUAUCCAAUUUCCCUUCCUUUUUCUUAUAGUUAUACAUACAAUUAUGUAUGUAUGUAUUAUAUGACCUACUUUCUAUGGGUCACAUAGACAUCCAAAUAAGGAGUAGAAGUAGAAAUGAGAUGGAGAAAAGGGUAUCUUAAAUAAAAAGGAUCCAAUAUUUAAACUUAGGAAAAAAAGUGUUUGCUUGGUUUUAUUUUAUUAGGUUACCAUCAAUAUCUGCUUUUCUUCGCAAGUCUCUCAACGCUCCACUCCUUCCUCAAGACAAAAAGCGGAAGGAUCAAGGGGACAAUGAUGAGGGUGACAAGUCAGGGGCUCAAGACUUCCAAGACCCGAAAAAUGUUGUCAAUGUCAUUUUUGGCAGAGACGGUGGCUUCCCCUCGAGGAGCGCACAGAAGCUGACCCUGCACGAAAUUCUCUCUGUCGAGCCGGCCAUACAGAAACCUCUGAGAUAUAGCGAGGUCCCAAUCUCCUUCUCUAGGGAUGACCAGUGGACUAGCUUCUCCGAGCUGGGAAAAUUCCCACUCGUCCUAGAUCCUAUCAUGGCAGGCUCACAAUUGACUCAAGUACUCAUCGACGGCGGGAGCGGCCUCAACCUGCUCAUUGCGAGUACAUUGAAGAUGAUGGGGCUGAACAUCUCCAAGAUGCUUACCCCCAGUAGAGCUCCAUUCUACAACAUCGUCCUGGGAAAUGUGGCUAUACCACUCCGCUCAGUGGCCCUGCCAGUUACUUUCGGGACGAAAGACAACUACCGCAAGGAGUACAUCAAGUUCAAGGUGGCCAACUUCGAGUCAUCAUACCACGCCAUCCUCGGCAGACCAGCUUAGGCCAAAUUCAUGGCCAUACCUCACUACGUCUACUUACUACUCAAGAUGCCAAGUAAGACAAGUGUACUCACGUUCUGUUCAAGUCAUACGACUGCAACCAAGAGGCGAUCGAGUAUGCCACGACAUCACGCAUGCUAGAACCUUUUGCGAAAGUCUUCAUGGCCAUGCAAAAGCUCACGGACUCAGAGAUGGAGAUCCCCAAUCAGAGGCCUAGCCAGUCCAGAGUAAAGCCCAACCCUAGCAACGUUGGCAUCAAGACCAUUCAGCUACAAAAAGGCGACUCAUCCAAGACUGCUUUGAUUGAAGGCGGCUUGAACGACAAAUAGGAAAGUGCGCUCAUCAGCUUCCUUAGGGCCAACCAUGAUAUAUUCGCGUGGAAACUAGCGGAUAUGCUGGGCGUGCCCAAGGAGUUGAUUGAGCAUUGCCUAAAAGUUGACCCCAAAGCCACUCCGAAGAAGCAGCGACUACGACGCUUCAUAGCAGACAAGAGGGAGGCCAUCAAGAAGGAGUUAGCAAAACUACUCACGGGUAGUUUCAUUAAAGAAGUCUACCACCCCGAGUGGUUAGCCAACCUGUACUAGUUUUGAAAGUAAAUAAUACUUCAGCUCUUCACUAAAAUAUACACCAACAAAUUUUCCCGUUGGGAAAAGUAAUGUAUUAUUUACAUUUUUUACGACAAGAAUGGGAGUUAAGUAUAAACAAUGAGGAAUGUGAGAUGCUGAAUCCUUCUGAUACUAAAAAGGUAAGGUACGAAGCUCGUUAUACCAAAAUGAAUGGAGGAUAUGUGUGGAUUACAUUGAUCUCAACAAACACUUCCCGAAGGAUCCAUUCGCGCUCCCACGCAUCGAUCAAGUCAUUGACUCUACGGUUGGCUAUGUCUUGCUCUCUUUCCUUGAUUGCUACUCGGGUUACCAUCAUAUUGCUCUCAAGGAACAAGACCAGAUCAAGACAGCAUUCAUCACCCCUUUUGGAGCAUAUGCCUGCACAACUAUAUCCUUCGGGUUGAAGAACGUAGGAGCCACCUAUCAGCGGGUGUCGGUGUUUUACCGCCUGCCCACCGAGGGGUAUACCCGAGGUGGUAAGUUUUAGGUAGGGUGACGCCGAGAUCAGGAACUCGAAGGUGCAAGCAACACUAGGUUUAGACAGGUUCGGGCCAUGAUGUGCGUAAUACCCUACGUCUUGUAUGGUGGUUUGUAUUGCCUUGGGUGUUGAUGUGUUUUGAGGGGGUCCCUGCCCGCUCUUAUAUAUCCGGGAGGACAGGGUUACAUGAAUCCCAAUCCGACACUAGCCUAGGAAUCGUACUCGAGUACAACUCGAUUAGCUUCCUUCUGCAUCGGCUAGUCCUACUUCGCAUGCGAGUAGAAUACAACACAGAUAAGGUAUAGGACAUGUCCUAUUCCCUACUCCUGUAUGAACUACGUUAUGUACGCAGUCCCGUAGUCCCGGGUCUGACAAGCCCCCGAUCUCUUUGUAGCUAAGUACUGCAGGCUCUUCAAGUACUUUCGAAGUAGUCUUCAGCUUCUUUCGAAGCUCCGUCUUGAAGUUCUUCUUCGAGUACUUCCUUGGAUGCAUCGAAGCUAUGAGGUGCUCAUGCCUCAAAUUACUUCUUUCGUUGGUGUGCGAUGAAAAAUCGCACUCCAUAUGGAGUAGCCCCCGAGCCUUAGGUUGAAUCGAAGAAUCAGGCUAAGGGUCACAUUAGUCUUGAAUCUUCCUUACUCUUCGAAUAUUUUUAAAAAAUAAAUAGUCGAUGCCAUGUAUCCCGCAGCCCCCGAGCCUUGAAUCCAAAUCUCUCAGGUUUGGAAAAAAGGAUCCAAUAGUUGUGGCAUGCAGUGAAAAAAUGUUCCCUUGGGAAAUAAUUGGUUUGAUGAUACAGAUGAUGGAAGUUAGAUUUAGAAUUCGAAAAACCCCUUUUUUCAGGAUAAUUAACCCUAAAAAAAUGAUUAAUCGAAUAAUUUAUCUAAAAAUCCACCAAAUGACCCCUCGGCUUCCGAAUAUUCCCUGUGAUGACUCUUCAAUUUCAGAAUAGUAAACCUGUAUUUGGUCGCUUUUUAUUUAACCCCGCUGUAACAUAGGGUAAAAUCCAUGCUUCCAAUCUUCAAUCCGCCGAGAAAUUUCCGAAUCCCCAAUCAGAUCCGUGCUCUGCCUUCACCUCCUUUGACAAGCCCCAAGCUAGCCGAAUCUCUCCGCCCCUUCUCUGCAGCCCUCGAGCAGCUCGUGGCAAACAGAUCUAGAAUGGUGCCCAAGAGAUCCAACGAGAAAGAUGGGAAGGGGAAGGAAUCGGAGCUGCCUUUUGGGGAGUGGACUUACAGUAAGUGCUCCAAUAACGACCUCCUGCAUCUUGUUUCUGAGGGUUUGCUUCAGGGGAACAGUCUCGUUAACUGGCACCCUUGUUUUCACCAAUCUCUUCCCAUGGAGAAUGUAGACGAAAUCGUCUCAUUCUACCAUUUCUCUGAAUGGGGUUUGGCUCUCCCCACCUGUUUCUUCUUCCGUGGCCUUGUUUACUUCUACGGGCUUGAGCUCCAUCAUCUCAACCCGAACUCUAUCUACCAUAUUGCUAUUUUCAUCCACUUUUGUGAAGCUUUCCUCAGAAUUGAACCCCAUUGGGAACUUUUCUGCUAUCUUUUCCACGUAAAGCCGCAACCCACCUCCAAAAGUCCAUCCGUUGUAGGGGGCGCUGGUGUGACAGAACCGCUUGAAUUAUUCCGGCUCAAGUGCGUAGAUCAUUGCUAUACAAGCGAUAUGACCUCAACACACUUCAGAUGGAAUAACCCAAUGGUCUGUCAGGUAACGUCCCGAUAAAACCACCGGAUUCCGGAUCGUUCAAGCGUACCUCGCACGAAGGCGAGUCCAGAUAUACAAUCACUGUUACAUUUUUACAACAUAGUCAUAGUAGUUGUUACAAACCGGUUUCUAGUAGAGUGCUGCAAUCCUAACUGAAACAAAUUUAUAUAGACAUUGUUUGAAAACUUCAAGUUUCAACAAACAUUAUUCCAAGAUGGCAGCGGAAAAGAUACAACAACGCAACUACUCGUCGCAAAGAAGGCACCAUACUUAGCCCAAAGCAUGGCGUCAUUCCAAAGGGUCAUUGCCGGCCGGGGACGGAUCCCAUUCCACGGACCAGCCAGGCGGUAAAGUGCAGGGCCAAGGAGAACUAGCAACUGAGUCCUCAAAUGACAUACCUGAAAACCACAUUACGAGCAAGGCUGAGUAUGCUAAUACUCAGCAAGGCUUACCCGUCAAUUGGGUAUACUUAGCCCAUAACUGGACCAUGAGAUGUUGAAAGGCUCUAGGUUUCUUUUGCUGAAAAACAACAAAGAGUAUAUCUUUAUUUCCAUAUUUUAGCUUUCAGAUUCUAGUUCAAUUAGCCAUUCUAAGUGAGCAUCUAUACUAGACAAGCAAGUUAGGUAUUAAAUCAUACAUCAAUAUUAUUCCACCAACUGUUGCUCUUGUUACUCUAUGUGGCAGAAGUAUCAAGCAGUCUCACUCACCGCGAGAAACGGAUGAUUCCUGAAUCGAAUUUCUUAACCUUGCAAGCGAUCCUAACUCACACGCUCGGAACUUUCCUUUCCGGGCAACCAUUCCCCUCAUAUUUUGGGUCGUGGAUUAGCGCCACCACACGCGACUGUAGGACCAUACGCACAUCCAAUGUGCAGGACGUACGUCUACAGCGCGACUGUAUGACCGUACUCCUGUCUGCUAUGCAAAAUGUACUCCCACACGUUGGUGCGUGUGUACAUAAACCAAAAUUCGAGUGGUGGGGGAUAUGUCCACUUGCCGGGCCAAUCAGGUACUAGGCUUACCGCGUACCAUAUUUACGGUUUGUGGCUAGUACUUUCAAACACUUGACCACCACUACCACACAUUACGGCCUUAUCAAAUUGAUCAACACAGACGGGUACCAUCCCAUGUCAUGGUACUGCACAUAACCCCGUCCGUGAUCCUUAUAGUGAUUGCAAAAUAGUAAACAAUCAAUUCCUAUAUCGCGCGAGUGAUAGAAAAUCACUCGACUUCUACUGGUCCUAUUAGCAAAGCAUCUACUCGAUAAGGACUCAGAAAUAUUACAUAGGUUCCUAGGUUUCAUGCAACUAGGGUUUCAUAACAACUCCUAGCACUUAAUGCACAAGAUAGAUAUAUAACAAUAAAAGUGCAUAAUGUUAAAUUACUGGGUUAUGCACCGGGGCUUGCCUUCACUGGUGAGGCUGGGGUCAGUGAUAUUAGUAUCUUCUGAACCUGGGUUCAGGGCUUCAGAAAGACCCUUGGUGACAUUUACUUGAGCUUCAGAAAUACCCUCGUCGGGAUCCGGGAUUAGAUCGUAGGUACCGUCGGCAAGUGUAGUCAAAUCUACAUGAUAUUUAAUUAUUUGAAGCAAAUGGUUAUUAUUUUAUUUUCACGAUAAAGUUGAAAUCCAACAAGAAUAUAUUCAAUAUAUCACUUCAAGACUUAACUAAUUUGUACAAACAACAGAAAGAUUUGAAACUAAACUUAAGUAGAGUUUUUGGUGUAAAAACUUUGUUCAAAACAGUUAUUUGGUGAAGGUUACAGAGCUGAUCUGAUCUACUUAACAGCAUGUUCUUCAGACAGUUUAUCUAGCUGAUUGGGGUGUGCAUCGAAAAAGUCUGAUCUGUGCAUACGGCAUCGACUGUGUUUAGCCGAUUGAAGUGUCCUAUAUCAGCUGUGCCUUAGCCGAUACCUGCCUGAGGUGUUAACCUGCGUAUCUACUUGUGCACGCAUCGGCUUGAUUUUUCUUUGGCAAAAGUAGCCGAUAGAGGUGUAGCCGAUCGACGUAUAGUCGAUGAGCGUGUGGUCGAUGGGUGUGUAGCUGACAGGCAUGUAUUUUGCAAACAAGACCCUAGAAAGAAACAGAGACUUGCAUUUGGGUCCCUAAUUGAUUUGAACAGAAGAAGUCCAGCAACGGCGAUUAAAAUUCGGUGAGGAGACUCACCGGUGGUGAGGUUAAGGUGGGGAAAAAGGUUCAGGAGCUCACGGCGGACUUGGGGGUGGCUGGAAUCGUAGAAGGGAAGCUUGGAGGCGGCGGUUCGACUAGAUACAGAGCCGGCGCGGUGAGGUUCCGAGGGCGGCGAUGGUGUUCCGGCGACUGGAGUGCAGGAAGGUGAAGGAAAUUGGUCAGGGAGCUUCGGCGUGGAGAUGUGGUGCUGAUGGUGCCCUUGGCGAAGGAGGAGAAGGGGUGGAACUUUGGUAAAACUAGAAUUAGAACGGCGGCGGAGAGUGAGAUCGCUGGCGCGAUGUUCUGGGCUUGGUGUGCGCGGAAGGAGGAAGAAGAGUGGAUCAGGAAGGGGCAGUCAGAUGCGGUGGUGCUGGUGGAGCACGAAAUUGGAGAGGAGAAGCGGCGGAGACGGUUGACGGCGGUGGACAGAGGAGCUCCGGCGAAGUAGUCGAGCGGAGAAGAGAACAGGAAUGCGGGUGCCCGCGAGGGGAUAGAAGAAAGGAGAAGGUUACUGGGCGCAUUUCCAAGCUAAAAAGAGGUGUGCGGGCGGGCGGCAAGCAGCUGCUGGUGGUCGACGGCGUGCAUGGUGGCUCAGGCAGGCAGCGGCGCGACGCGUUUGCGUGAGGAGGAGCCAGCGGGGUCGGUUAAGCGGCGGGCGGGCGAGCUGGGGCCAGGUGGUGCAGGAAGAGCGGCGAAGGGGCAGCUGGCGGUCGGGGAAAAUGCCGGCGAUGGGUGGUGGGUGGCGCUGCAAAGAAACAGAGAGGGGGAAGCAGGAGGAAGAAGAUGAGGACCUGUUAGUAAAUUUUGCAAAAGUUCAAGGAGUUCAGUCAAAAAUAAAAUUUUAUUCCAAACUAUAGCUCUAAUGAAAAUAUGCCCAAAAUCAAAAGUGUAGAGCUUAAAAAUAUCUACCACUUUGCUUUAGGGUCUAACUUAAGAAGAGUUAGGGUUUUGAAAUUACAUUUAAAAAUCAACAAAUCAUUCAAUUUUAAAUAAAUCCAAAAUAAGUUUUACCCUUUCAAUGAAGCCUUGGAGUAUUUACACUUCUUACAGUGGUUAAAGAGUGAAAACUCAUGUUUGCAAAUUAACCAUUCAUAUUUUUGAAAUUACCUCCCAUUUAUACACAAUUUACAAAAAGAACCCUAAUUUUUCCCAAUAUUACAAAAAUACCCUUUAACGUGUUUUUAAGUUUUUAAAGGCAUUCAUCAAAACAAACACAAACUUCACACUAACAAGCUCAACUUCAUACUAAAAAUUAGCGUGCCUAGCUCCUAAGUACCUGAAAUGUCACAGCCUCUCUCCCUAAAAAGAAUCUCGUCCUGAGAUUCCAGAACAGAAGGGAAUUGAAAGAUUAGAUACUUGGUUUCGCUCUAAGGAAGUCUGGAAAGUUGUGCUGAAGAUAAGACUCAGUUUCCCAAGUCACUUCUUCUUCAGUAUGAUAGUUCCAUUGGAUCUUAAACAUCCUGACUGUCUCUCUUCUUGUGGUUCUCUCUUUAGUAUCCAGUAUUCUGAUCGGAUGUUCAGUAUAAGAUAGGUCUGGCUUGAUUUUGAUGGGUUGGAAAUUGAUGACCUCGGUAGGGAUUUUGAUGCAUUUCUUAAGCUGAGAUACAUGGAAGAUAUUAUGAAUGGCUGCUAGCUGGUAAGGAAGUUGAAGACGUUAAGCUACGGGUCCACAAGUUUCAAGAAUUUCAAAAGGUCCAACGUAUCGAGGAGCGAGUUUUCCUUUCAUACCAAACCGUUGAACACCUCGGGUAGGAGAUAUCCUUAGGUAUACAAAGUCACCAACUUCAAAUUGCAAUGGAAGAUAUUAUUUUGAAUGAUCUUCACUUUUUCUUCUACUUCAGUGACAAGAUCAGGUCCAAAAAUUUUACGUUCGCUGGUUUGAGACCAAUUCAAAGGAGUUCGGCAUCGGCGACCGCAUAAUGCUUCAAAAAGAGCCAUUUUGAGACUCAACUGAUAACUAUUAUUGUAGGAGAAUUCUGCCAAGGCUAAGCAUUUGUCCUAAUUUUUGUCAUAUUGGAUUACACAGGCUCUAAGCAUAUCCUCUAGGAUUUGAUUUAUCCUUUUCGUUUGUCCAUCUAUUUGCAAAUGAUACACGGAGCUUCGAAUUAAUUUUGUUCCAAGAGAGUGUUGGAGUUGCUCCCAGAAACGAGCAAUGAACUGUGCUCCAUGAUCAGAGAUGAUUGUCUUAGGUAUUCCAUGGAGACGAACGAUUUGGUCUAGAUAGAUCUCGGCAUACUUCUUAGCAUUGUAAGUAGUAUGCACGGGAAGGAAAUGGGCGGUUUUGGUUAAUCGAUCAACGGUUACCCAAAUAGAAUCAUGCCUCCGGGAAGUGUUGAGUAAGCCAACGAUGAAAUCCAUGCUGAUAUCUUCCCACUUCCAAGAAGGAAUGGGUAAAGGUUGAAGAAUACCAGCAAUUUUUAAGUGACUGGCUUUAACUCUUUGGCAAAUAUCACACUCAGAGACAUAUCUUGUAAUUUCUCUUUUCAUGCGAGUCUACCAAAAGUUUUGUCUCAGGUCUUGGUACAUUUUGGUACCGCUAGGGUGCAUAGAGAACUUGAAUAGAUGUGCCUCAUCUAAAAUCUGCUUACGAAGCUGAUGGUCCUUGGGUACAACAAUACGUCCCUUGAACCAUAGAAUUCCUUUGUGAUCUACUUGAAAACACUUAUACUUUUCUUCUCCCGAGCUAGCUGUUGUUUGAUGAUUUUGACUCCUUCAUCAUGUAGUUGUGCCCUAAUAAUACUAUUUUGAAGUGUGGGUUCAACUGCUAUAUGAUUCAAACUACCUUGAGGAAUAAUCUCAAGAUUAAGCUUUCUCAUUUCCUAGCAGAGAGUUUCACUGAUGCUUCUAUUGAUAAGCAAUGGCAACGCGCUUUGCAGCUGAGUGCAUCCGCAACCACAUUGGCUUUGCCUGGAUGAUAGUGCACUUCCAGAUCAUAAUCUUUUAUAAGCUCUAGCCAACGUCUUUGUCUCAUAUUUAGAUCUGCCUGUGUAAAAAUAUACUUGAGACUCUUAUGGUCAGUGUAAAUGUUACACUUAGUACCCAUAAGAUAGUGUCUCCAGAUCUUAAGCGCAUGGAUAACGGCUGCAAGCUCAAGAUCAUGGGUAGGAUAGUUCUAUUCAUGAGUCCUAAGUGCUCGUGAGGCAUAAGCAAUUACUCGGUUGUUUUGCAUGAGUACACAACCAAGUCCGAUGCCCAACGCAUCGCAAUAGAUAUCAAAUGGUUUGGAAUUAUCUGGCUGAGCCAAAACUAGAGCAGUAGUGAGGUGUGCUCUUAGAGUGUGGAAUGCCUCUUCACAUUUCUCAUUCCAGGAGAAUUUAACUCCUUUCUUCAGCAAUUCUGUCAUUGGCUUGGCUAUUUUAGUGAAGCCUGGGAUGAAACGAUGGUAAUAGCCAGCAAGACCAAGAAAACUACGGAUCUGAUGGACUGAAGUAGGGGGCUUCCAAUCCAUCACUUCCUAAACUUUACUUGGAUCAAUAGAUAUACCGUCAUUGGAGAUGGUGUGACCCAAAAAUUUAACUGUAUCUAGCCAAAAUUCACAUUUGGAGAAUUUGGCAUACAAGUGGUGUUCUCACAAUCUCUAAAGAAUAAUAUAAAGAUGUCUAGCUUGAUCUUCUAGAUUUUUGGAAUAGAUCAGAAUAUCCUUGAUGAAUACUACGACGAAUUUAUCAAGCUCUGGCAUAAAGACAGAGUUCAUGAGAUACAUGAAAUAUGCUGGGGCGUUGGUAAGGUCAAAAUACAUAACUAGAUAUUCAUAAAAUCCAUAUCUGGUGGAGAAUGCUAUCUUUGGGAUGUCGCUGGGCUUAAUCUUUAUCUUGUGAUAUCCAGAGCAAAGGUCAAUUUUGGAGAAUACCUUGGAUCCAGCUAAUUGAUCGAACAAGAUGUCAAUACGGGGAAGAGGAUAUUUGUUUUUGAUGGUUACUGUAUUGAGGGGGCGAUAGUCCACAUAUAGUCUGAGUCUAUGGUCCUUUUUCUUUACAAACAAAGCUGGGCAUCCCCAUGGUGAAGCACUUGGAUGAAUAAAACCUUUAUCAAGAUGGUCCUAAAGUUGAACUUUUAAUUCUGCCAGCUCAUUGGGUGGCAUACGAUAGAGUCUUUUAGAGAUGGGGGCUGUACCGGGUUGUAACUCUAUAAUAAACUCAAUAUCCCUAUCAGAAGGCAUCCAGGGCAAAUCAUCUAGAAAAACAUCUGGGUAAUCACAUACGACAGGGAUGUCCUCAAGCUUGAUCCCUUCUAUGGUAUAAACGCAAGAAUCGAUAUAUUUCCACUGUGGAAGAUAUAGAAUAGUAGCCUUGUAAUCAGGUGAGUCUAUCUCAACCGCUCAGGAAGAGAUAUCUAAUGAUAUGGUGCCUAGUUAUCUAAUCCAUACCUAGUAGGAUAUCCAUUCCUUCUAGGUUUAGCAAAAUUAAAUCUGUCUUUAUCAGGUUGCUACCCAUUUGAAUUGGCACAUCUCUACAGAUUUGAUUUGAAGCAAUUUUACCGCCAGGAGUCACUAUCAUAUAUGUUCCUUUAGUAUGAUAGAAAUCCAAGCCUACUUUUGUUCCAAAUGUUGGACUGAUAAAGCUAUAGGUUGCACCAGAAUCAAAAAGUAUAACUGCAAGUUGAUGGUGUAUAGUGAAAGUACCCAUCAUUAUUGGUGCACCCUCAGAAAGUUUGGAGAGAGUUGUGAAAUUCACCCUCCCUUGGCGGACUUGUAUAGUUUGCUUCUUGUCUCUACCCUUGCUGCUCGGGUUGGAAGUCUGCCCUUGGAAUGAUUUCCUAGGUUGAGGACAAUUUUUGGUAAAAUGCGAUGAACUGCCGCAAUUGAAACAAUGAUUGUUGUUGUUUCCCUGGUUGAACUGCGGAAAGUUCGGCCUUAGUCCAAGCUGUUGCUGCUGAUGUUGAGGCUGAGGCACUGGUGGCCUGUUGAAUCUAGACUGCUGAGGGGAUCUAGCUACCCAUCUGCCUGAUAGAUUGUUCCAGGGUGGGGCUCGUGGAGAUGUAUUCUGGACUAACCGAUACCUCGGGGGUUGAGCACUCGAGGGUCCAGUGGGUAUCUUCCGCUUCUUCUCAGCCCAAUGGGCUGAAACACAAUCUUCCUGAGUAAUUGCCAUGUUGACUAGCUCAUUGAAGGUGUCUGUCUUAACAAGAUUCAGUCGUUCCUUAAGCUUGGUGUUCAGGCCACGACGGAAACGAUCUCGCUUCUUGGCAUCGGUGUUUGCAUGAUAACCUGCAUAUUGACACAGAUAAUUGAAGGCCCGUGCGUACUGCAUUACGGUGCGGGUUCCCUGGGUAAGAGCUAAAAAUUCAUUGAGCUUCCACUCAAUGAGCCCUUCAGGAAUAUGAUGCGCCCUAAAGGUGGUCCGAAACUCUUCCCAUGUGACUACAUGUCCAUCUGGCUGCAUGGCAUAAUAAUGAUCCCGCCAAAUGCGAGCAAUGCCAUGAAGCUGCUGUGCUGCAAAGAUUGCCUUGUUUGCUUCGGAGCAUGGUGUGGAUAGUAGUGCGAAUUUCAACUCAAUAUUGCGGAGCCACGCAUCCGCAUCAAGAGGCUCUUCGAUCUUAUGAAAAAGUGGAGGCUGUGUGCUAAAGAAAUCUUGGUAACUAGCAGAGGGAUGUUCAUCACGACCUCAUUGCUGAUGAUGGAACUGGUUCUGCUGUGCCUGCACUAGCUGAUCAAGGAGUUCAGUCUGUCAUGCCAUUACUUCUGCUAGAUUUGGUGGUGGUGGCGGCGGUUGUUGGGAACCGCUAGCCUGGUCCAUCCUGAAACCUUCAGGGGUUCCACGCGUAGCGCCAACCAUCUGAAGAAUGGAAGAUGUCCAUUAGAAAUCACCAAUACUUGCUUCCAUUUUCAGGAAUAUACCGCACAAAAAUAAAAUAUAUGGAAAUAGUGCAACAGAGAGAUAGCUCAAUAGAUAACUGGACAGGAAACUUAGGCUAUAGAUCAUAAACUGAUGGUCAUUACUAUGUUACAUCGCGGUAGUCUACUAACUACAAAUCAAGCCAUGCCUACACAUGUCACAUAUAAUACAACAAGUGGCCCUUAGGUCAAACAAGACUGCUCUCUCCCUAUAUCACACUAUACUACACUAAGUACAUCUAGAAGGUUGAUGAUUUGGAAAAGACUAGAAAUCGUCGAGGUUGCCCACAGACGACUGGCUGCUAGAAGAAGAACGAUUGGGCUGAGGAUUAGGUUCGGGAUCUCCAUGCUCGGAAUCAAGAUCGGAAACUCCUUCAAUCUCUUUCGGGUCUUCUUCUUCAUCUUCACUUUCAGACUCUUCAGGUGUGACAGGAGGUACUGGCUGCUCAUGAAGCAUAUCGAUAUGGGCGAUGGCGUCGUCAAGCUCAAGACUAAGGUCAUGGACUUGCUCUUGGAGAAACUCGAUGACAGUGUUGUGCUGAAUGAUUAAUGUAUCACUCUCAAUGAUCUGAUCCUCUCGGUGAGUGAUGGUUUCGUCCCGCUGUGCGAUAACCUCAUCUUUAGCAGUGAUUGUGGCUUGGAGCUCUUCAAUUUGAGUAAUCUGCUGGUUAAUAUUUCUUUGAUAACCUUGAGCUAUACUGGUCAUUUGGCUCAUACCGUGGCGCUGAAGUAUCUGAUGACGAUAUUGUGCAUUCAUAAACCUGACGGUAGCACGUAGGGUCUCUUCUGUCAAAUCUCCCAAUAAGUGUCCAAAAUGGGAUACUCGAAAAGUCCACUCCGGGUCACGAGAAUCUACUGCAGGGAACAAACCAAUAGGAUACCUGGCAACUUCAUCUGGAUGCUGGUCACAGAAAAUGUUGAUGGCUUCAAGAGCUGCAUCUUCAAAAGUGUCUGCUAGACGGUGACCAACCAUAUCAAUCUCAAUGGGCUGCCACAGGGAUCGCGAUGAAUGCGGGGGAAUAGUCAUCUUCACUCUGCACCGAGGAACACCAUCUUCACUAUACUCCACUCCAUCAUAUUGCGGUGGCUCGGUGUAGCUAAACAACUGAAGUGACUCCCACAAGAGACAUGGAAAACCCUCCCAAUGCAAGGCAUUGGUGUGAGCAUGUCCCUCAUGGUCCCAAAAGAUCUUUAGAAAAUCUGCCAUCUAAAGCAAAGAUUCAAAUGGUAAGGUUGCAAGUUUUCAAGAAAAAUGCUUUGAGAAAACUACGGGAAAAAUGUGAGUCAGACUCAUGGAAUAGCUAGGAUGCAACUACCCUGUUGAGAACUCACAAGAUAAAUGGAACGAGACAACCGAUUCUGGUAGUAGCAAAGGCUAGAAAUCAGAUAGAUGAUAUAGAUCUUGAGGAUGAAACAAAAGAUGCCGAGAUACUAAACCCUAAGGUUGUCUGUAUGACCAUUUCAAAACUGCACCUAUGAUAAGCAACACUCUAGAUAGCCUUAAAACAACAAGCCAUUAAUUCAUUCACUUUGUUUAAUCAUGAAGUAUGCAUGCACGUACUACUUGUCCUCACAACCAAAAACAAUUGCCAAAUUUUUUUGAACUUACGUGGUUAGUUUCAGUAGCAUAGUAUAUAUACGUCUCUUCCUAUAAUAGCUAGUCGAGAGAUCCUAUUUGUUUAGAGCCUAUCGAGUUGGGGUUAGCGUACCUACAGAAAAAUCAUAUAUAUCAUGAACCUUUCAUGCCAGCACGUCAUGAAAGCGUUCCCAAAAUUACUGUUCACUUAUAGAAAUAGCAUCUGUACAAUUCUCGCUGUACAGACGAUGUUAACAUAUGUUACUUGUGACAGUUCAUGUAUUUUUAACGUUAGAUAUAUAUUUUGUUAGUGUAAAAUAUGUGUUUGUUAGUAUAAAGCUUGUGUGUGUUUGUGUGAAACUUUUGAAAAUUUAAAAGUGCAAGUAAAAAGGGUAUUUUUGUAAUUAUAGAAAAACCUAGGGUUGUUUUUGUAAAAUGUAUUGGAUAAGGGUAAUUUCAAAAUAAGUGAAAGGUGGUUUUGUAAAUAUGUUUUUCUUACUUUAUUCCCUGUAAAAAAUAUAUAUUUAUUCGAAAGUUGUAUUUGAAAUGUGGGUGUUGAAGUGUGUAAAAAAUUUUGGGUAAAGUGGUAAGAAUAAGGGUAUUUAUGUAAUUUUAUAAAAGUACAAGUCCUUUUACGCAAGUAUUUGAUUUACAAAAGUAACUUUUAAAUUUACUCAGGACUAAAGUGUAAAAGUGCAAGUCAUCAUGACAUGUCUAUCCAAUCAUUAUGAUAAGUCUAUCCCGUCAUUAUGACGUGUCAUAAAUGCUUGCAUUUAAGUCCUGAAUUUUAUAAAGUUUCGCCCUUUAGGACAAAAGCAAUUCAAAUCCGACUUUUGUUCAAAGAUUUACAUGUAAAAAUAUAAAUUUUGAGUUUUUGAACUUGGGCCCUAAAGCAAUGUUGUAGAGUUUGAAAAACUCUCCAACUUUCAUUUUGGGCAUUUCUUCAUUAGGGUUUUAAAUCGAUAGGAAAUUUUACUUUACAAACAGGUCCCUGCAGUUUUCUGAUUUUACAUAUAAGCCCUUGAGGAAAUUCAACUGUCUUUCUUCUCUCUUCUACCUUAUCCUGGCGCCUACCUUCUUCUUUAUCCCCAACCGGCAGCACUGUCCAAUCCCGUUUUCCCCUCUCUUUUCUCCAUUGGUGUUCCCCUGCCUUCCUCUCUCUCUCCUCCAACCAGGCAAGGCGGCGUGGGGGCUUGGCUCUGGGCGAGCACGGCCCCAGGCGGCGCAGCACGUGGGGCCAGCCCGAGUGGCGGGUGGCUCCCAGGCGCGGCCGGGCGCUCUGCAGGCGGCGCAUGCGGCCCAGGCGAAGGCCGGCGGCACAGGCGAAGCGCACAGGGAGGCGGCAGGCGCUGCGCAGGGCGAGGCCCAGGCGAGGGCGAGCGCGGCCCCAGGCCAGGCGGAGGCGCGCAGGGCUGGGCGCAUGCGGCAGUGCGCAGGGCCGAGCGGGUGCGGUACUGGCGCUGGGCGGCAGAGCUGGUCGGUCAGAGCGCGGGCGACGUGCGGGUGCUUGCGGCGCGGCAGCAGGCGGUUGUGGCGCAUGGGAGCGAGUGGCUCUGCGGGUGGCGCUGGAGGCCGGUGCACGGCGGGCGCGGGAGCUGGGCUUGGCGGCGCGCAUGAGCUAGCGGCACAGGAGUGGAUCCAGGCGUGGAGACGCACGGGAGCGAGCAGAGGCGCGAACGCGGAGCGAGCAGGAGCAACUGGCGACGAUGUGCAGGGAAGUUGCGUGCGCGAGGGUGACGUGCGGGAGCCGAGCGCAGGAGCAACUGGCGACGAUGUGCAGGGAAGUUGCGUGCGCGAGGGUGACGUGCGGGAGCCGAGCGCAGGAGCGAAGCUGACGGCUUCAGGCGAACAGACGGCGCUAGCUCGCGGGCGUUGGGCGAACAGGAGCUGGAGCGCAGCGCAGUGGAAGCAGCCCGUCGGUUCGGGAGUGGCGCGGAUAGGAGCGAAGGCUGGUGAUGCGGACGCACGGAUCGAGUAGCACGUGCGCGGCGAAGCAAAGUGGGCGCUGUUGCGUGGAUGCGCGGGAAUGACACGGCAAGGCUGGAGCAAGCACGGCGUAGAUGUAGGUGGCGUGGGCAUGUGAGUGCAGGAGCAGGACUCGAGCGGAGAUGGAAGGCCUGGAGCGAGCAAUGAAGUGCAGGGCGGUUUCAGACGCGAGAGCAGCAGCGCGAUACGGGCCAAGGACGCGCGCGGCUCGGACAUGUGCAGAUGUAACGCGGCGAGGCCGAAGCGAGCGGGUGACCAACAGCGGAAGAAGGAGGAAGAUCUAUGCAGGGCAACAACGUACAAAGCGGCGGCGCGCAACGCAUGACGGAGUUCCCACUGGGUGAGCUCAGGCCGCGAUCGAGCUGGUGUGCAGGAGGGUCGCGCGUGAUGGACAUUAGAGACCGUCGAGGAAAACACAGCGGAAGGCACGGUCCUAAUACAGGUUGACCACAGUCCUCGCGGAGGCAGAAAGGGCGAGUGUGGCGUAGCGAAGCAAAAGUGAAGGUUCGUACGGAUCUGGACUAGUACGUCCGCGGAUACGAGCGAGAGUGUUCUACUAGUGGCCGGCUCAACUCAAUUCAGCAAGCGCGUGCGUGUACAAGACAACAAGCCAUCUUCCACCCACGACAACCCUCCCCGACAAACUUCUUUGUCAUCCACGGGAUCUCAUCAUCGUCGAGCUUUUCUCUUCGCCGAUCCUGUUCGCCACGGGAAUCCACUUUUUACCCGUUCUUCCUCCACAUCUGAAACUACCCCAAGGUUUGCCCUAGUUCACUGAAUCUUCUUAAUGCCGGCGACUCCUUUGCCGGAAUAUCGUUGUUAUCUUCCUGUUAUCUAUUUUCCCGGACCAGGGACUUGACUGCCAUGUUUUAGAAAAUUCUACGGUGUUCUUUGUAAUAUUUCCAAAGCUUUUUGUAUUUCAAAUCGAUGAACUUCUACCUUUCAUAGAUUUUCGUAGGAAGUUCAUAAAAAUGUAAAAUCAGUUUUGUUUGAAACACUAAGUCAAGCUCUACAAGUUUUACGUCGCGAUCUUGAAUUGAAGUCUUUGAUGUGUGGUCUAGGUCAUAUGUUAGGAAAUGAAUAUUUAAUUGUGCUUUAUAUUGAAUGCUUGUAUUAUAGCUGAAAAGUAAGCCAUAGAAUGUAUGUCUUAAAUAGAAAUGUGUGAUAUCUAACUAAUCCUUUCCCACGAAGUGCUCAUAUCCCUACCCUCAAGACAUUGCUCUCGUCUUGAUUGCAAUCUCCUUAAGGCCCUUUUCGUAUAAGAAUCUUUGAUUAGUUCAUGUGCAUCUGCUGCUUAGCUACUACAUCUCGGCAGCUGUGCUUCAGUGUCAAGCUAUCAGCUCAGCCGCUAAGCAUCUGUUUCCUUUGAGUUUAGAAUACUUCUGUGUAACAGUUAUCAGCCGAUGCAUUUCUUUUGAUAUGCUUCUACCAUCGGCUGGUUGACUGAAACGGUUGUUACCUUUCUAGUAUCGGCUACUGCCCAUAACAUUCUGUUGUUCCGUCCUACAUCGGCUAUCACAUAGCCGAUCAAUUUAAGGUGCACACACGAUCUUAGGGUUCUUGCUAUCGACCGAUCCAAGCCAAUUCUAGUCGUUUUCCGUAUCGGUUAAAUAUGGCCGAUCAAUCCUUAGUUUCCCCAUCCUUAUCCACACACUUCUAUCAGUCGAUUUAUCAACUGAGAGGUCGGCUAUAUACUUAUCGGUCACAUACCCUCAACCACACUCCAAUCGGCUAUACGUCACUCAACAGUUAUGCUGACGUAAUCGAGUCGAUACAAUCACACUUAGUUACCUAGAAUAACACUUAAGCACAUCUUAGUUAAGACAACUGCUUUAGAAAUAUCCCUCUGCUGAAGUAAUCAAUGCUUCCAUCGAUCAUCUAAGAACCCGAUGCACACAUCAAUCGGCUAAACCUUUGUUGUUUCCAAUCAGCUCCAUUGUGACCCUCAACAAGUAGCCGAUUCUAAUUAGUUAUCCCUCUAAAGCUCUAUCUAAGUUUAGUUUUAGAUCUUUUUGGGUGUAAUGUGAAUUAUGUGUUAUAUGAGUGUUGAAUUGCAAUUGUAUUGUAAAGUAAGAUAGUUUCACAUGCACGUUUUGAAUGUAAUGUCGCAUUGCAUGUAGAUACAAUUACUUCGGCAACGGUAUCUACGAGAUCUCCCCGGAGUCUACGGAGGAUGUUCCUGAAGUUCAAGUAAACGUCACCAAGGGAUUAACUGAAGCCCCGAACCAAAGUUCGGAAGAUAUUGACAUUUCUGACUUCAGCCCCACCAGUAAAGGCAAGCCCCGGACAUAUCCCACUACUUUAUUUACUCUGCAAUAUAUGUCUAUCUAUAUUAUAUCUUGCAUCAAGUCUUGGAAUUGAAGUGAAACCCUAGAUGCAUGAAUCCUAGGAAUCCAAUGUAAUGCUCCUGAGUCCUUAUCGGAUAGAUGCUCCGCUAAUAGGACCGAUAGAAGUCGGGUGAUUUCCUGUCACUCGCGCGAUAUAGGAGUUGCUUGUUUACAAUUCUGCAACCACUAUAAGGAUGACGGACAGGGUCAUGUGCUGUAUCAUGACCUUGAAGUUUACCCUGUCUGUUUCGUUAAAAGUUGAUAAGGUCGAUAUGUGUGGUAGUGGUGGCUAAGCGUUUGAACAGUACUAGCCAUAUGCCGCAAAAUAUGGUAAAGCGGUAAGCCUAGUAACCAAUCGGCCCGGUAAGUGGACAUACCUCCCACCACUCGAUCUUUAUGUUAUGUUCACACGCACCGACCUGUGGGAGUACGUUCUGCAUGGCAGACAGGAAUACGGGUUUUGUAGUCGCGCUACAGACGUAUGUCCUGCACGAGUGAUGUCCGUACGGUCCUACAAGUCGCUUAUGGUGGCCUGUCCACGAGUCGGAAUGAAAGGUAUACGGUUGCUUCGGAACACCCGGUUGGUGUUCCAAGCGUGUGUGUUAGGUUUACCUUGCAAGGUUGAAUUUCGAUUCAGGAAUCGUCCGCCUCUCACGAUGCAUGAGACUGCUUAUCCCUUUUACCACAUUGAGUAAGAAGUGUAACAAAUGAUGGAUAAUCUUGAUGGAUGAUAAUCACCACCUUACUUGCUUAGUGUAGGUGCUAAUCUAGAAUAAAUACUCAACUAGAAUCUGAAAGCUAAAAUUUGAAAGUAGUUAUACUCUUUGUUGCUUUUCAGCUGAAAAUAAACUCAGAGCCCCAUAUGAUACCUUCAUGAGACUAGUUAUGGGCUAAAGUAUACCCAAUCCCGGGUAAGCCUUGCUGAGUAUUAGAAUACUCAGCCUUGCUAGUUUUAUGUUUUUCAGGUAAAGCCUUUGAAGAUCCUACUCUUCCCCUGUCUUGGCCCUGUGCUCUUCCAGAUGGUUGGUCCGUGGAAUGGGAUCCGUCCCCGGCCAACAUUGAUGAAACCGAGUGAUGUCGUGCCCGGGCUUAGCAUGACAUCCAUCUUGACGGCGUGUUGUGAAUCGUCGCGUAUGUUUUCCGCUGCUAAAAACCAUAACUUUAACAGUUUGUAAUGUUUUCUCUAAAUUUGAAACUUUGCACUAUUGUUGGAAACUCUUGUAACGUAAUUCUCUGUGAUGUAAAAUAUGGUGGUGACUGUAUCUCUGGACUCACCUUCGUGUGAGGUAACCUUAUUGAUCCUGUGUUCGGUGGUUUAUCGGGACGUUACCCGACAGGCCAAGGGAUUAUACCGUUUGAAGCACGUUGGAGCCCUCGGGAAUGUACUCACAUACUUGAGCCGGUAUAAUUCAGGUUGGUUCUGCCACAUUACUUUCGCAACGUAUUCACAGGAUACCGUAUAAAAUAGGGGUAUGAACAGCGAUCACCAUACCUCUUGCCUAACCAUAUACUCCCAAUAUAAUCAACUUAUCGUUGGUAUAUUGGCAGCAUCUCAAGUAAGCCACUGCUUGAGAAUCAGCGUUCAGUUCGCAUCACCGACGGGAAGGCCAAGCUCUCUCAGUUGGCUGAGGAUCCUUACCCGCUUAUCUCAUCAUCGAAUGCGUCGUUACAGAAUAUAAAAUUGAUUGUGCUCGAAAGUAAGUUUUUACAGAAAUGUAGUGCUGGAAGUUAGAGUAGUACUAUAAGCGUACUGUGUAUAUAUAUUAGUAGCUACCUAAUAAUUCCCAUAUAAACCCCUAAGGCUUUAUGUACUAAGCACAAUUCUUAACGAAACCAACGUAAUAUAUUUUUUUACAAAAUACUUUGUUGGUCCAAUUUUAUUCUAAAAAUAUUUUUACGGUCAAUCAUAUCUCCGGUGUACACUUGUUAGCUCUGAUACCAGACUGUGGCAGAACCGCUUGAAUUAUUCCGGCUCAAGUGCGCAGAUCAUUGCUAUACAGGCGAUAUGACCUCAACGCGCUUCAAACGGAAUAACCCAAUGGUCUGUCGGGUAACAUCCCGAUGAAACCAACGGAUUCCGGAUCGUUCAAGCGUACCUCGCAUGAAGGCGAGUCCAGAGAUACAAUCACUAUUACAUUUUUACAACAUAGUCAUAGUAGUUAUUACAAACCGGUUUCUAGUAGAGUACUGCAAUCCUAACUGAAACAAAUUUAUACAGACAUUGUUUGAAAACAUCAAGUUUCAACAAAAAUUAUUCCGAGAUGGCAGCGGAAAAGAUACAACAACACGACUACUCGUCGCAAAGAAGGCACCAUACUUAGCCCAAAGCAUGGCGUCAUUCCGAAGGGUCAUUGCCGGCCGGGGACGGAUCCCAUUCCAUGUACCAGCCAGGCGGUAAAGUGCAGGGCCAAGGAGAACUAGCAACUGAGUCCUCGAAUGACAUACCUGAAAACCACAUUACUAGCAAGGCUGAGUAUGCUAAUACUCAGCAAGACUUACCCGUCAAUUGGGUAUACUUAGCCCAUAACUAGACCAUGAGAUGUUGAAAGGCUCUAGGUUUCUUUUGUUGAAAAACAACAAAGAGUAUAUCCUUAUUUCUAUAUUUUAGCUUUCAGAUUCUAGUUCAAUUAGCCAUUCUAAGUGAGCAUCUAUACUAGACAAGCAAGUUAGGUAUUAAAUCAUAUAUCAAUAUUAUUCCACCAACUAUUGCUCUUAUUACUCUAUAUGGCAGAAGUAUCAAGCAGUCUCACUCACCGCGAGAAACGGACGAUUCCUGAAUCGAAUUUCUUAACCUUGCAAGAGAUUGUAACUCACACGCUCGGAAACUUUCCUUUCCGGGCAACCAUUCCCCUCACAUUCCGGGUCGUGGAUCAGCGCCACCACAAGCGACUGCAGGACCAUACGCACAUCCAAUAUGUAGGACGUACGUCUACAGCGCGACUGUAUGACCGUACUCCCAUCUGCUAUGCAGAACGUACUCCCACACGUUGGUGCAUGUUUACAUAAACCAAAAUUCGAGUGGUGGGGGAUAUGUCCACUUGCCGGGCCAAUCAGGUACUAGUCUUACCGCGUACCAUAUUUACGUUAUGUGGCUAGUAUUUUCAAACACUUGACCACCACUACCACACACUGCGGCCUUAUCAAAUUGAUCAACACAGACGGGGUACCAUCCCAUGUUAUGGUACUACACAUAACCCCAUCCGUGAUCGUUAUAGUGAUUGCAAAAUAGUAAAUAAUCAAUUCCUAUAUCGCGCAAGUGACAGGAAAUCACUCGACUUCUGCCGGUCCUAUUAGCAAAGCAUCUACUUGAUAAGGACUCGAAAACAUUACAUAGGUUCCUAGGUUUCAUGCAACUAGGGUUUUAUAACAACUCCUAGCACUUAAUGCACAAGAUAGAUAAAUAACAAUAUAAGUGCAUAAUUUUAAAUCACUGGGUUAUGCACUGGGGCUUGCCUUCACUGGUGAGGCUGGGGUCAGUGAUGUCAGUAUCUUCUGAACAUGGGUUUGGGGCUUCAGAAAGACCCUUGGCGACAUUUACUUGAGCUUCAGAAAUACCCUCGUCGGGUUCCGGGAUUAGCUCGUUGGUACCGUUGGCGAGUGUAGUCAAAUCUACAUGAUAUUCAAUUAUUUGAAGCAAAUGGUUAUUAUUUUGUUUUCAUGAUAAAGUUGCAAUCCAACAAGAAUAUAUUCAAUAUAUCACUUCAAGACUUAACUAAUUUGUACAAACAACAAAAAGAUUUGAAACUAAACUUAAGUAGAGUUUCUGGUGUAAAAACUUUGUUCAAAAUGGUUAUUUGGUGAAGGUUACAGAGCUGAUCUGAUCUACUUAACAGCAUGUUCUUCAGACAGUUUAUCUAGCUGAUUGGGGUGUGCAUCGGAAAAGUCAAUCUGUGCAUACUGGAUCGACUGUGUUUAGCCGAUUGAUGUGUCCUAUAUCGGCUGUGCCUUAGCCGAUACCUGCCUGAGGUGUUAACCUGGGUAACUAUUUCUGCAUGCAUCGGCUUGAUUUUUCUUUGGCAAAAGUAGCCGAUAGAGGUGUAGCCGAUCGAUGUGUAGUCGAUGAGCGUGUGGCCGAUGGGUGUGUAGCUGACGGGCGUGUAUGUUGCAAACAAGACCCUAGAAAGAAAUAGAGACUUGCAUUUGGGUCCCUAAUUGAUUUGAACAGAAGAAGUCGAGCGGCGGCAAUUAAAAUCCGGUGAGGGGACUCACCGGCGGUGAAGGAAAGGUGGGGAAAAAGGUUCAGGAGCUCACAGCGGACUUAGGGUUGGCUGGAAUCAUAGAAGGGAAGCUCGGAGGCGGAGGUUCGACUAGAUAUAGAGCCGGCGCGGUGAGGUUCCGAGGGUGGCGACGGUGUUCCGGCGAUUGGAGUGCAGGAAGGUGAAGGAAAUUGGUCAGGGAGCUUUGGCGUGGAGAUGUGGUGCUGAUGGUGCCCUUGGCGAAGGAGAAGGGGUGGAACUUCGGUUCGACUAGAAUUAGAACGGCGUCAGAAAGUGAGAUCGCAGGCGUGAUGUUCUCGGCUGCGCGUGCGUGGGAGGAGGAAGAAGAGUGGAUCAGGAUGGGGCAAUGAGAUGCGACGGUGCCAGUGGAGCACGAAAUUGGAGAGGAGAAGCGGCAGAGACGGCUGACGGCGGUGGACAGAGGAGCUCCGGCGAAGUAGUCGAGUGGAGAAGAGAACAGGAAUGCGGGUGCCCGCGAGGGGAUAGAAGAAAGGAUAAGUUUACUGGGUGCGUUCCCAAGCUAAAAAGAGGUGUGCGGGUGGGCAGCAAGCAGCUGCUGGUGGUCGACGGCGCGCGUGCCGGCUCAGGCAGGCAGCGCCGCGACGCAUCUGCGCGAGGAGGAGCCAGCGGGGUCGGUUAAGCGGCGGGCGGGCGAGCUGGGGCCAGGUGGCGCAGGAGGAGCGGCGAAGGGGCAGCUAGUGGCUGGGGAAAACGCCCGCGAUGGGCGGUGGGCGGCGCUGCAGAGAAACAGAGAGGGCGAAGCAGGAGGAAGAAGAUGAGGAUCUGUUCGUAAAUUUUGCAAAAGUUCAAGGAGCUCACUGAAAAAUAAAAUUUUCUUCCAAAUUAUAGCGCUAAUGAAAAUAUGCCCAACAUCAAAAGUGUAGAGCUUAAGAAGAUCUACCACUUUGCUUUAGGGUCUAACUUAAAAAGAGUUAGGGUUUUGAAACUACUUUUAAAAAUCAACAACUCAUUCAAUUUCAAAUAAAUCCAAAAUAAGUUUUACCCUUUCAAUGAAGCCUUGGAGUAUUUACACUUCUUACAGUGGUUAAAGAGUGAAAACUCAUAUUUGCAAAUUAACCCUUCAUAUUUUUGAAAUUACCUCCCAUUUAUACACAAUUUAAAAAAGAACCCUAAUUUUUCCCAAUAUUACAAAAAUACCCUUUAACAUGUUUUUAAGUUCUUAAAGGCAUUCAUCGAAACAAACACAAACUUCACACUAACAAGCUCAACUUCAUACUAAAAAUUAGCAUGCCUAGCUCCUAAGUACCUGAAAUGUCACAACCGGCAUCCAGCUUAGGCAACAGGCCGAUGACAGAUAUCUUUCUUACAAAUUCCCCUCCAACAUCCCUCAAUGGAAAAACCACUGGUUUUACAUCGGGAACCAUGUCCCCCA
rnacentral:lncRNA from 1 species